UUUUAGUCAGCAGUAGUACAACU
rnacentral:miRNA from 1 species